rnacentral:rRNA from 1 species
GACGAACGCUGGCGGCGUGCUUAACACAUGCAAGUCGAGCGGUAAGGCCCUUUCGGGGGUACACGAGCGGCGAACGGGUGAGUAACACGUGGGUGACCUGCCCUCAGCUCUGGGAUAAGCCUGGGAAACCGGGUCUAAUACCGGAUAUGACUCCAUGACGCAUGUUGUGGGGUGGAAAGCCUUGUGCGGCUGAGGAUGGGCCCGCGGCCUAUCAGCUUGUUGGUGGGGUGAUGGCCUACCAAGGCGACGACGGGUAGCCGGCCUGAGAGGGCGACCGGCCACACUGGGACUGAGACACGGCCCAGACUCCUACGGGAGGCAGCAGCGGGGAAUCUUGCGCAAUGGGCGAAAGCCUGACGCAGCGACGCCGCGUGAGGGAUGACGGCCUGU